rnacentral:lncRNA from 1 species
AAGCAAUUUGCUCAUAGCCAUAGCUUUCUUGUGAAAGUAGGAUAUUAACCCAGGUGUCUUGGUGCUGGAGAACAGAACUGGCCAGAGUCCAUCCUGUCUCCCACCGGCAUCCCAUUACGAAAUGAACACAGAAAAGGCAGGUCUGCAAUGCCAACAUCUAGUAUCUAUCCCAAAGACCAGGGAGAAAGGAAGGAAAGAUUCUGGUUCUGUCCUCUUCCCCAAGGCAAGGCUGGCUGCCCUACCAACAGAGGCAAAGAGAAGAGUGUGCAAGGCUGGCUGCCCUCCCAACAGAGGCAAAGAGGAGUGUGUGUUGAAAUAUCCAUUGAAUCCCUGAGACAACUGGAUCCUGGCCCAUUGAAUCAUAAACUCAUUUCAGAGAAGAUGAAACUGAUGUGCGUCAAAAAGUAAACUACCCACAUUUUAACUGGGCACAUUCCUGUCAAUCUGAUGAGAAUCUAUUUCAUACCCUGCUUUAGCUGGUAGUCUGUCAAGGAAAUGAGCUGAACAUGUCUGUGUACAGCUUUUGUGCCAUCCCUGGAUGAGCGAGCUGUCUGCCUCUAUGUUCUCCACAAAAUGGAAUAUAGCUGUACACCCAAGCCAAGUUAUGGAGGCUGGGAAGACCUAGAAUGUGGCAUCACUAUUUGCUGAAAUUUUUAAUAUAAUGCCUCUUAGCCUGGUUUGGAGAAAACGUCACAGAGAGGCACCAUUUGUUGUGGUUUUACAUGAAAAUUUUCUGACCCUGAACCUGGUUUGAUGGAAAUCAUUUGCUGAGGAAACCAUGCCGAUUACCGACCGAGCUCUCAAUGGAAAAAUGCAGUCGGCGUGAACCACGCACGAACACAGCAGAGAAAGAAGAAAACACACACCACGAGGAACCCUAAUAGGACAAUACAUUAUAAGCCUCAUGGUACAUCCACUUGGUGUGCUGGGAGAGUCAGGAUGAGGACCUGAGAAGAACAGCAGCUUGAACCUGACUUCAUUUAACAGCCCACUGCCCUCUUGCCAAGAACCCAUCACAGACCUUCCCAGAAGAGAGGGAUGAGCCUCACCUAUGAAUAAGUCCUCAGAAACUCAAAUUUGAUUCUAAUGGAUUGUUUUCUCAGAAAGACUGAGCAUGUCCCCCCACAUCUCUGUCAUUUCCCACAGUAGUAACCUCUGCAGAUGCCACAUAGAAAACAAAACAAAACAAAAAAACAUGAGGUUGGUGGGCAGAUAGGCAGGGUAUAAACAAACAGCCUUGUAACCCAGAAGCUGUGUGAUAUACAGUAAACUUCACAACACUGAAAAGAUGUCCUAUCUGUUAAAAUGGGGUAAUAACAACUACCCGAAUGUUUAGGAAUAGAACUUCAAUAAAUGAUACAUUUUAUAGUACAGCAGACCAUCCUGUAAAGGUUUCAUCCUUCACUGUGGUGAUAAAUAUCCCAAACCACAUUGAAAAGCAUUGCAUCUACAUUUAUCUACACUGUAACUGUACUGUAAAUCAUGGGGGAGGGGAGAAUCAUAAAAACACCACCUGUCACCGUGUCAUUAAAGCAAGUUGGAAGUGAUACUUACAGAAACACAGCAAGAGCACCCCCAGUCACACAGUUCAAUCUCUUAGCAAGCGUUUUCUUUCUAGCCCAGUGGUUCUCAGUUUGGAAUUUUUGGCACUGCCUAGAGAUAGUUUUGUUGUUAAAACUGAGAAAAGAGCCGGGCGUGGUGGCACACGCCUUUAAUCCCAGCACUCAGGAGGCAGAGGCAGG